rnacentral:rRNA from 1 species
UACGAAGGGGGCUAGCGUUGUUCGGAAUCACUGGGCGUAAAGCGCACGUAGGCGGAUUUUUAAGUCAGGGGUGAAAUCCCAAGGCUCAACCUUGGAACUGCCUUUGAUACUGGGAAUCUUGAGUCCGGGAGAGGUGAGUGGAACUGCGAGUGUAGAGGUGAAAUUCGUAGAUAUUCGCAAGAACACCAGUGGCGAAGGCGGCUCACUGGCCCGGUACUGACGCUGAGGUGCGAAAGCGUGGGGAGCAAACAGG